AUUGAACGCUGGCGGCAGGCCUAACACAUGCAAGUCGAGCGGAUGACGGGAGCUUGCUCCUUGAUUCAGCGGCGGACGGGUGAGUAAUGCCUAGGAAUCUGCCUGGUAGUGGGGGACAACGUUUCGAAAGGAACGCUAAUACCGCAUACGUCCUACGGGAGAAAGCAGGGGACCUUCGGGCCUUGCGCUAUCAGAUGAGCCUAGGUCGGAUUAGCUAGUUGGUGGGGUAAUGGCUCACCAAGGCGACGAUCCGUAACUGGUCUGAGAGGAUGAUCAGUCACACUGGAACUGAGACACGGUCCAGACUCCUACGGGAGGCAGCAGUGGGGAAUAUUGGACAAUGGGCGAAAGCCUGAUCCAGCCAUGCCGCGUGUGUGAAGAAGGUUUUCGGAUUGUAAAGCGCUUUAAGUUGGGAGGAAGGGCAGUAAGCUAAUACCUUGCUGUUUUGACGUUACCGACAGAAUAAGCACCGGCUAACUCUGUGCCAGCAGCCGCAGUAAUAC
rnacentral:rRNA from 1 species